CUCACGGACUGGGCGGCCGCGCUGAGGGAGGUGGAGGGGUUCCGUGUCUCGGUGCCACAUCCUCGCGUCCAGAGGGGAGGGAGGUAGGGCCCUCCGGGCUAGGGUCGUUCAAACCGUCCCCAGCUCAGCUGGCGCACCGGGGCAUCCCCAGUUGGGGGUGAACGAACGUGGACGGCCCUGCUGGUGUGUUGAGUUAGGCUGCGUGGAGGCUUCUGCAGCCCCUCAGAGAGCAGGGCCGUCUUCCCUACGCACAGCUUCCCCGACGUGCUGCAGGCAUGCUUUAUCACAGGUCGCCCCGAAAAAAAUCUGCUCGGUCCUUGGGCUGAAGAUGACUGACCGGGACCUGCCAAUGCACCUCCUCCAUCUUCUCCCCAUCCCUCACAGAUCAUCCUCCCUCCUUGGUGUGGCGCAGCCCCGGCUUUCCCCCGCUUUGCCAUGGUGCCUUGGGCCUCUCUCACCUCUCCACGCUUCCUAGCUCAGUGGGAUGCCCUGUAGCCAGGACUGACUGCAGGCAUUUUGGAGACAGCACCUUCCCUGAGGUUUUGUUGUUUUUAUUAGUUAUUUUUUAAGGAACAAAUGGACCACUGUGAUAAUCUCCUCUGAUCUCAAGCAGUUCUAGAAGCUGGAAUAAGACUCAAGAGAAUUCUCUCCAGUCAUCACUUAUCAUCAGUGAGGCCCCUGCAAGCGUACAGACUGCUAACUGACUCAGAGAUGGGCAACAGGGUGGUAAUAAAAAUAAUAGCAGGAUUAUUUUUAUCUUACCUCCAACACCUUGACUCUGCUCGAAAACCACUUACAUUGUUGUCUCCGCCAAUUAAAUAUACAAAAUUAUUAAGAACAGCAAUCCCUUGGUUGGACAUUCUGGGCGCUAGUGCAGCUGUAAAGUGCCUCCACUCUCCCAACAAGGGGUUCAGAUACUUGGCUUGAUCACUGAGGACAAUGGAUGGAGUAGAAUGCAUCCCUCCAAAUCCCACUACACACUGGAACUCUGAUCUCAGCUGUGUCUGGGAGCUCUGAAGCAUUGGCUGAAGACAUUCAUUCUUGUGGUACAUUAAUGCAUCUGCGACUGUAUCUUUUAAAGGACAUGGACUUAAUUUGUCAUGAAGCCUUUGCAGGAUUUGGGGUUCCAUCAGAGGAAAACGAACUGUCUCAAGUAGCUUAAGGGGCUCCAUCAGGGAGACCUGAUCUGUCUCCAGUUGCUCUGGAGAAUAAUGAUAAAAAAGUGCCCCAUCAUAAACUUCAAACUCAUAGUUAACUUCCAAACGGUUACUGCUGAGAAGGGAGUAAACCUUCUGCAAGGGUAGCUGUCGGUACACUUGUGUCCUUGAGAAAGCUGCAAAGUUCUUCAAGAUGUAGGAGUCCAGCUGAUCACUCAAAUGUCUCAAGUCAUAAUGGUCAGCUAGUCUGUAUACAUCGAGGAUGUUCUCUUCAUCUACCCAGGACAUGAGAAAAUCACAACAGAACUUAAUGACUUCUGGAAUCUGCAAGAGAGAGGAAGAUUUUUCAUUUCAGACACCACUUGCCUCACACUCAAGAGCCAGUGACAGAAUCCUGGGAUGACUGUAAGUUGUCCACAAGACAACUGCUCUCCUCAGUCCGAUCACCAUGUUCACCUGUGUCCAACUCCCCUUUCUCCAGAGAAAAAGAACUCAACGUGGGUAUGUAGAUGAAUAUAAUAUAGAUCUUCUAGCCACACUGUACUGCAAGCCCAUGAGUUUGGCUUCAGGUGCAGCAGCAAUGUGUCUUCUAAGACACAUGGGACACUGGACAGUCAGGCUGCCUGGUUUGUUAGCAUGGCACCAAGCUGCAGCCUGCCUGGGAGGCAGGCAUGAAAACAGAAGGCAUGGAGGACAUGCCACUCCGUAAUUGUUCUUUCAGAGAACAGACAUACUAUAUCAAAGACACUAUCUGUGACAAAUAUGUCUGCAUCACUCAUAUGCACAGGAAGUCAUUUGAAAGGAAAUUAAUAUUUAGUGUUGUCUUCUGAAUACAAUUUGAAGUUGUAUCUGGCAGGAGGGACUACUGGCAAAAAACUAACUGCUGUGCAAAAGCCCCUCUGCUAACCAAGUGGUGUUAAGUGUGUAGAAACCAACAAAGCAAGCACUCAGAAAGUUUAAGAUUUAGUACCAAAGCCUUGUGCAGCAGUUAGCUGCAGGGGAAAUUAGAGGAAAAAAGCUUGUCUUAAAGGCACACAAACUCUGCACUUAGUGCAGAAACCAUAGUGGUAGGAUUUCCUGUAGUGACGGGGUCAGGGGAGGUUAUGCGCCUGUGGACUCAGCCUGGGGAAGAUCUUGAGCAGCACAGCAAUUUCUGAGCAGCAAUCCCUGUCCUUUACCAUAGGCCAGAGGUAUUCUAUUCUAGGGAAGCUUUCAUAAACAGAUCAGUGGAAGUGAGUGCUAUACCAGAUGAAAUGGUAGAUGUUUAUAAGUAAUAAAACCAUUGGCACAAA